UGAACAACUGCAAUUACAAAAUAAAGUUGAAAAAACAUCUAUGUCCUGCGCGCAAUACAACUGUGCUGCUUUUAUUUUGAAAAGUAUUAUUUAUGGGCGUGUGUCCGUGUGUAACCUGCGAGUGAAGGUGCACAUGCAGCGACAAGUGAUGCACGGUUUACACCCGAGACGCCAAAAAGAGAAAAGUUGAUGAGGAAUGCCGUGUUUUCAACAACACAUGAACUGCAAAGCAACGUCCCCUCACCUAAGAUUUGAACUAAACUCGGGGGCUGGUAUGGCGUCAUUCCAGGGCCAGAUUUGGCCUCUGGCCCACCAAUUAAACAGCCGUGGUUUAUACGUGAUUGCAACAAUUGUAGAAUCUAACCUGGAGCAAAGCUGGUCUUCCCAUUGUAUUGAACUAUGCCGGUUCUCUGGCCAACGACCAGCACUCUGUCCCCCAGGCGCACAUCAGGGCCCCUAGCAGUGGGGGAUAGGCUUCGUAGACCUAGGAUGGAAAUGCUACGCCAGGAGAAGAGCGAAGGCCUGGGGAGGGUGUGCUCCGAGGACUCUGCUCCCAUUGCUGCCUGACAGAAAGACGUUGCCUCGGAUGCGGUCUAAGACGCCGUCCAUGAAGGGAGUCCAGUGAGGAUGAAGAAGAGGAGAGCGAUUGGGAGAAAACACCUGUGAUCAAAUGACAAAGAGAAAUACAGACUACAAUUUCAUGAAGUGCACAAAAUGUCAGCACUGUUGAUACGAGUUGCAACAUUAACCACUCUGAUGUGUUUAUUGGAAAAGAAGGCACUUCAUAUUUUAAUACGGAAUGUAUCAUUUAAUAAUGCUUACAUGAGGAAGCUUGAACAAUGUUGAUUGAACAAUAAAAACAGGAUGGUGCCUGCUG